GACGAACGCUGGCGGCGUGCUUAACACAUGCCAGUCGAACGGAAAGGCCCUGCUUUUGUGGGGUGCUCGAGUGGCGAACGGGUGAGUAACACGUGAGUAACCUGCCCUUGACUUUGGGAUAACUUCAGGAAACUGGGGCUAAUACCGGAUAGGAGCUCCUGCUGCAUGGUGGGGGUUGGAAAGUUUCGGCGGUUGGGGAUGGACUCGCGGCUUAUCAGCUUGUUGGUGGGGUAGUGGCUUACCAAGGCUUUGACGGGUAGCCGGCCUGAGAGGGUGACCGGGCACAUUGGGACUGAGAGACGGCCCAGACUCCUACGGGAGGCAGCAGUGGGGAAUAUUGCACAAUGGGCGGAAGCCUGAUGCAGCAACGCCGCGUGCGGGAUGACGGCCUUCGGGUUGUAAACCGCUUUCGCCUGUGACGAAGCGUGAGUGACGGUAAUGGGUAAAGAAGCACCGGCUAACUACGUG
rnacentral:rRNA from 1 species